rnacentral:rRNA from 1 species
UACGGGGGGGGCAAGCGUUGUUCGGAAUUACUGGGCGUAAAGGGCUCGUAGGUGGCCAACUAAGUCAGACGUGAAAUCCCUCGGCUUAACCGGGGAACUGCGUCUGAUACUGGAUGGCUUGAGGUUGGGAGAGGGAUGCGGAAUUCCAGGUGUAGCGGUGAAAUGCGUAGAUAUCUGGAGGAACACCGGUGGCGAAGGCGGGUCUCUGGGCAACUCCUGACGCUGAGGCGCGAAAGCGUUGGGAGCAAACGGG